CACAAGCGGUGGAUGAUGUGGUUAAUUCGAUGCAACGCGAAUAACCUUACCCACCUUGACAUGGCAGGAAUCCCGAAGAGAUUGGGAGUGCUCGAAAGAGAACCUGCACACAGGUGCUGCAUGGCUGUCGUCAGCUCGUGUCGUGAGAUGUUGGGUUAAGUCCCGCAACGAGCGCAACCCUUGCCAUUAGUUGCUACGAAAGGGCACUCUAAUGGGACUGCCGGUGACAAACCGGAGGAAGUGGGGAUGACGUCAAGUCCUCAUGGCCCUUAUAGGUGGGGCUACACACGUCAUACAAUGGCCGGUACAGAGGGUAGCCAACCCGCGAGGGGGGAGCCAAUCCCACAAAGCCGGUCGUAGUCCGGAUCGCAGUCUGCAACUCGACUGCGUGAAGUCGGAAUCGCUAGUAAUCGCGGAUCAGCAUGUCGCGGUGAAUACGUUCCCGGGUCUU
rnacentral:rRNA from 1 species